GACGAACGCUGGCGGCGUGCUUAACACAUGCAAGUCGAACGGAAAGGCCCUGCUUUUGUGGGGUGCUCGAGUGGCGAACGGGUGAGUAACACGUGAGUAACCUGCCCUUGACUUUGGGAUAACUUCAGGAAAAUGGGGCUAAUACCGGAUAGGAGAUCCUGCUGCAUGGUGGGGGAUGGAAAGUUUCGGCGGUUGGGGAUGGACUCGCGGCUUAUCAGCUUGUUGGUGGGGUAGUGGCUUACCAAGGCUUUGACGGGUAGCCGGCCUGAGAGGGGGACCGGCCACAUUGGGACUGAGGUACGGCCCAGACUCCUACGGGAGGCAGCAGUGGGGAAUAUUGCACAAUGGGCGGAAGCCUGAUGCAGCAACGCCGCGUGCGGGAUGACGGCCUUCGGGUUGUAAACCGCUUUCGCCUGUGACGAAGCGUGAGUGACGGUAAUGGGUAAAGAAGCACCGGCUAACUACGUG
rnacentral:rRNA from 1 species